UAGGGUUUGGGGUGUGUCCAUCUUUGCGUCUCCAUUCCCUGCCGAUCUUUCAUCAUCUUCCUUCCGGUGAGAGAUGAUACAGUAACUGAAUUUCUCUCAUAAAGCCCUCCAUUAAUUGAUCACCCAUGAUCUAUAUUCAAUGCGACUCUUGAGACUACAAGGCGGUAGACGUUCUACUAUAAAAAGUCUGGCUGCUCUUCCUCCACCGUUUAAGUUUGCCUGCUCUGUUUCUGGGAGACCGGGAAUGCACGCCGUGGUGGAGAUCUCAUGGGAGUCGACAUGCUCCUUCUUGAUUCUCAGCAACCAUGAUGCCGGCCACCAUUGAUGUCAACCGGCUGGCGACCCACCGGCCUAACCUGAAAGCGGGUUCGGUUUAUUCUCUAACUGGGUUUGAUGUUGCUCGGUGUAACCCAAAUUACCGUCUAUCGGAUUCUUCCUUGCUAAUCUGGUUUAGCGACUCAACCUAUUUCAAAGAGGUUACUGAUCCAGCUGUUCCGUCUCCUCCUGAAUCAUUUCGCUUCCGUAACCACAGUGAGAUGCUUGGUCUCGCUAACACUAACAAUCAGCUUCCAGACCUCAUUGGUGAUAUUACUGAUGUGAAGAGCACUGUCACUGACCCUCCCCAGGGUUCCAGUUAUGUUGGAAAAUGACUAUGAGCCUCUUCGACGCUCAGGCUGUUAAUAUUCAUAAUCAAUUAGAAAAGAUGAGAGGUGAUCCAAGAGUUGUGGUUGCAACCAGCGUCAACCCGAAGAUGGGGGGUGGGGGGUCGGAUAUUUUUGAAUGCCACUUCCGGCACACAUAUUUACUUCGACAAAGAGACAUCAGCAUGGGAGAGUUUCUUCUACAGUCUGGUUGAACAAGACAUUGGAGUUACGCCAGCAGCUCCACUGCUAAGGGGCUAUGCAAAGGUGGAAGUGCUGAGCAUAGUUGAGCUCAAUAACCGCUCCCUCUCAGGUAUGCAGCCAGAAUUACAUUGUUAUCUUUUUCAUAGAUAGAUUUCUUAGGUUACCUGAGCAAUCUGAUUUCCCAACCAUGUCGGACAUUGAUUUUAUCUGUAACGAGAGAGUGACUGAUAUCAAGAUGGAUAAGGGGUGGUGCUAUGUUUCAUUCUCAAGUUGUGCCAAGAAACUUCAACGCACGGCCUCAUCUUUCACAUGUGUGCCUUUCAAUAAUACUUACGCAGUUGGUGUCCUCCGAUAUCGUGUCGAGAUGUCUGUUGCAGACGAGACUGGUGAAGAGUUGUUUGUUUGCUUUGAUGGGGUUAUGACGAAGCUCCAUAACAUGAGGGCCUAUGAGGCUGGCCAUCUCUUGGUAUCAUCUUCAUAAACUGUCGUCCUCUCUUUGUGUUGACUACUUAUUCAUUCAGUCACAUUCAACCAAUUAUACACAUGCUGGUGAUGGUGUCAACCCGGAGGACUGAGGCCCCUCCUUUUGUUCCAGGGGGGGGUGACAAUGACAAUGGAGAUGACAACCACGGUGGCAACUCAGACAGUGCCUGUUAAGGUGGAAGUAGCAAGGUUGAUGGAGCUACUGGGAAGGUGAAGAAAGCACACAAGGCAUAAGUGAAGCCAAUUGAUGUCGAGGAUGCUGUUUUCCCGUUUGCGUUUUUGCUUUUUAGUCUUUCUGAAUAAGUUUGCAUUUUUCUUUUUGCUGUUUGAAACUUCUACAUUUAGUUCUUGCUUAUCAGUUAUAAAAUCUAUUCCAUUUCAGAAAUGUUUGUCACUAAGUUAUAUACUUUCAAAAUU